UGUUUUGUUUCUUGUCUAAGUGUUUUGCCUGCAUACAGCACAUAUGUGCCUGCUACUUGCUGAUGCCAGAGGAAGGAACUGGAAGCCCUGUAUGUGGAGUUACCAUGUGGGACUUGGAAACAGCAUUCAGAUUCUCUGCAAGAGCAACAGGUCCCAGGAAUUAAAUACAAGCUGUCAAUCUUCGCAGCGAGUACCUGGGCCAGGUUGACU
rnacentral:lncRNA from 1 species